rnacentral:lncRNA from 1 species
CUUGCAACAAGGAAAGAACAUGGAGAGCCCCAGACCCAGAAACCUGCCUCACUUCCUCCAGGGUGAACAUCAACUGAACUUCUAGCUAUUCUCCACAUGGCCCCAUGCUUUCCAAUCCCUCCAUGCUUUUGUUUAUGCCAUUCUUGCUGCCUGAAUUGUCUCCUCUACCAUCUCCAUGAAACCAACUUACAUGACAUCUCUUCUAUGACACCUUUAGAAAUACCUCAAGUUAGGUAUGUCUCUCUACUGCUCUCAUCAUAGAAUCAAAUAAUUGUUUUCUCCAGGCUGGAUUGAAAAGAAUGCUAAUGGACACCUGUUUCCCUACUGUCUCCUCUUCCAGGGAGUCCUGCACACUACUGCUGGAUAAAGCCAUACAUUCUUCCUUCCAUUUGCACUUUUCUCCGUUAGAGAAACUCCAGCAUCCUUGCUUAAAAUACGUGCCCUCCAGCUCUGCAGUCCAGGGAUCCCAUGGACCCAAAAUUGUACUCUACCAUUUACUACACCAGGACAUGGCGGGGCUGCUUCCUUCCCUGAAUUGCCAGCAGAUCACAGAUCAGAUCAGUCGCUCAGUCGUGUCCGACUCUUUCCGACCCAAUGAAUCGCAGCACGCCAGGCCUCCCUGUCCAUCACCAACUCCCGGAGUUCACUCUGACUCACGUCCAUCGAGUAAGUGAUGCCAUCCAGCCAUCUCAUCCUCUGUCGUCCCCUUCUCCUCCUGCCCCCAAUCCCUCCCAGCAUCAGAGUCUUUUCCAAUGAGUCAACUCUUCGCAUGAGGUGGCCAAAGUACUGGAGUUUCAGCUUCAGCAUCAUUCCUUCCAAAGAAAUCCCAGGGCUGAUCUCCUUUAGAAUGGACUGGUUGGAUCUCCUUGCAGUCCAAGGGACUCUCAAGAGUCUUCUCCAACACCACAGUUCAAAAGCAUCAAUUCUUCAGCGCUCAACCUUCUUCACAGUCCAACUCUCACAUCCAUACAUGACCACAAGAAAAAUCAUAGCCUUGACUAGAUG